rnacentral:rRNA from 1 species
CCUACGGGUGGCUGUAGUGAGGAAUAUUGGUCAAUGGGCGCGAGCCUGAACCAGCCAAGUAGCGUGAAGGAUGACUGCCCUACGGGUUGUAAACUUCUUUUAUAAAGGAAUAAAGUGAGGCACGUGUGCCUUUUUGUAUGUACUUUAUGAAUAAGGAUCGGCUAACUCCGUGCCAGCAGCCGCGGUAAUACGGGGGAUCCGACCGUUUUCCGGAUUUCUUGGGUUGAAAGGGAGCGUAGAUGGGUUUUUAAGUCAGUUGUGAAAGUUUGCGGCUCAACCGUAAAAUUGCAAUUGAUAUUGGCAGCCUUGAGUACAGUUGAGGUAGGCGGAAUUCGUGGUGUAGCGGUGAAAUGCUUAGAUAUCACGAAGAACUCCGAUUGCGAAGGCAGCCUACUAAACUGCCACUGACAUUGAUGCUCGAAAGUGUGGGUAUCAAACAGGAUUAGAUACCCGAGUAGUC